UACGGGGGGGGCGAAGCGUUGUUCGGAAUUACUGGGCGUAAAGGGCGCGUAGGCGGCUCGCUAAGUCGGAUGUGGAAACUCUGGGCUCAACCCAGAGCCUGCAUUCGAAACUGACGAGCUCGAGUUCUGGAGGGGAAAGCGGAAUUCCUGGUGUAGCGGUGAAAUGCGUAGAUAUCAGGAGGAACACCGGUGGCGAAGGCGGCUUCCUGGCCUGUUCUUGACGCUGAGGCGCGAAAGCUAGGGGAGCAAACGGG
rnacentral:rRNA from 1 species